AAAAGAAUACCGGGACAGAACCCGAGGAGUAGAGUCAAGGCCAACAGGCGACUCGUUUGAGAUACAGAGAUUAGAGGAGCAGCAGACUGAGCUGCUGAGGUGUGUGGAGUUAUCAGCUUGAAGUCUUCGGGUAUAAUUUAUACCCUAACUGUAAAUACUCCUUUUGAUGUAUAUAUUGCACAUGAAUGUAUGGGCAUGUAAAAGUGGGUCUUGAGCAGUUUGUAUAAAAUUUGUAUAAGUUGUAAUAUAUAUUGUGGUUUUGAAACUCUCUUAAUGUAAAUGUUGUAAUAAUAUAUCUAAAU